rnacentral:rRNA from 1 species
AGUCUGGUGCCAGCACCCGCGGUAAUUCCAGCUCUAGUAGUGUAUGUUGAAGUUGCUGCAGUUAAAAAGCUCGUAGUUGGAUUUCGGAACGCGGAGGUCAAAGUCCGUCUCAACGGCGUGGCUCGGUUUCCGCUUCCUAUCUUUAGGUAGAGGCUCUCUUCCUUCACGGGUUGGGAUGUCCGCUCCUAAUCAUUUACUUUGAAAAAAUUCGCGCGCUCAAGGCAGGCGUAACUUGCUAUGAAGAUUACAGCAUGGGAUAAUGGAAUACGACUUUGGUCUUAUUUUGUUGGUUUCUAAGGCUGAGGUAAUGAUUAAUAGGGAUAGUUGGGGCCGCUUGUAUUCAGUGGCUAGAGGUGAAAUUCUAGGAUUUACUGAAGACAAACUACUGCGAAAGCAUUCCGCAAGGAUGUUUUCAUUAAUCAAGAACGAAAGUUGGGGGAUCGAAGAUGAUCAGAUACCGUCGUAGUCUCAACUAUAAACGAUGUGAACCAAGGAUCCGGUUUAGAUGAUGGAUGUCUUUCCGGGCACUGUGUGAGAAAUCAGAGUAUUUACAUUCCGGGGGGAGUAUGGUCGCAAGGCUGAAACUUAAAGGAAUUGACGGAAGGGCACCACCAGGAGUGGAACCUGCGGCUUAAUUUGACCCAACACGGGGAAACUUACCAGGUCCGGACACUUGAAGGAUUGACAGAUUGAAAGCUCUUUCUUGAUUAAGUGAGUGGUGGUGCAUGGCCGUUUUUAGUUGGUGGAGUGAUUUGUCUGGUUAAUUCCGUUAACGAACGAGACCUUAACCUAUUAAUUAGUGACGCGAACUUGGGCUUCGGCCCAUCCAGUUCGUGGACGACUUCUUAGAGGGACUCUCGGCAUCUUUAGCCGAUGGAAGUUUGAGGCAAAAACAGGUCUGUGAUGCCCUUCGAUGCCCUGGGCCGCACGCGCGUUACACUGACUAUUUCAACGAGUUCUUCCUUGCCAGAAGUUGGCUAGGUAAGCUGAAAAGGUAGUCGUGAUGGGGAUUGAACAUUGCAAUUAUUGUUCAUGAACGAGGAAUUCCUUGUAGGCGUGGUUCAUCAGACCACGCCGAAUACGUCCCUGCCCUUUGUACACACCGCCCGUCGCUCCUACCGAUUGGAAGCUUCGGUGAGAACUCGGGAUGAGAGCACUUUAGCUUAUCAGAAAUGGUAAGCGGGUGCAUUCAGAACUUGUUCAAACCUCAGUUUCUAGAGGAAGGA